GUGUUCCUGCGGGCUGAGAAGAGCCCUUUGGUCAUGAGGAUGGGGCAGAGGGACCCCGUGUGCAUGGUGUCAUCAGCAAGGAUCUCCUCUUCCCCAGCACGCUGAGAAGGGACAGCUGCAACUGUUAGUUGGCUCUUGGUGUAAUUGAUGGACACUGCCAGUUGCUUAGACAGAUGGGAAUUAACACUGGUGUUCCCAUUAGAACUUGCCAUCACAGUCACGUUGGCUUUGGUCUCCUGCACUGGGUUGAUGUGUGCAAGAGAGUGCAUGUGGAAGGAGCAAGCGUAACUCCUGCCUGCAGUACUCGCCUUCCAGGGUAUUGGAGCCAUCCAUCCAACACAGAGCAGACGAGCUGCUUGCCAGCAGUUUGCAGAACACAUGGCUUUGAGAUGGUGAGGAAAAUGCUUCUUUGCUGGAUGCUGAGAGAUUGCAGUGAGCGGGACUCUCAUCCCUGGAGGCAUCUGUAAGCUGUACUUACAGGCAUUGCAGUGCCUUGUGGCCCAGCUGUCUCCUCUGGACCUCCGGUGACCCGGCACAGCCACCUUGUGACCUGUCAGGUGACAACCAUGAGGCACAGCAGGAGGUGAUGGCUAAGGUAGGAGAUGUUCCAGUCUUACUUACACAUUAAACACAUGGAAAAACAGAUUAACACCUAAGCACACAAACACACGUUAACACUGACUUGAAGCACACAAACAGAUGCAAACACUGUGAUUCCAAAUGUGUUCCGGGACAUCCACCUUUCUUCUCAUGGCUGGAACAGAACAGUGAUCCUGUUUGAGCAGUGUUGGACUGAAGAAAUUAAGGUAAGAGGGAGGGGGUUUAAAAAAAAAUAAAGCAGCUUGUUUCUGUGCACGUGCCUUUGUUACCGCCUUUUGGAUGCUGUGAUUUCCGUUUUACUUUGUGUCUGUUGCCAGUUAUGCAGAGCACUGGUUCACUGUGAACACUUGUCACAAUGUGUGUAAUUUAUUACUGAUGGUGUCCAGUUUGUUUCAGUUAAGAUAUUUGUGGGCGAAGGUUUUGUUCGGAUGUGUGUUCAAGACCACCUGAUUUGAUAGAGACUUCGCGCAGGGUUCAAUCUGCCCACGCUGCACUUGGCCAAGAGCUGCUCCGCUGAAGGCUUUGAGGGAGUUCUCCUCACUUAUUAGUCAGCCAGUCUGAAACAAAUAAGAUUAUCACUACUUUUUGUUGAAAUUUAAAACCCUGAUAUGGCUGUGCUUGAUGGAGGGAGAGCAAGUUCAACAGUCCUUGUUUCCAGUGUUCAAGCAUUCACUUUCACACAAGGUGGUGUGUGUUUGAACAUCAGUGUGUAAUGUUGUGUGUGCCUCACUCCCCCGAGACCAGCUGCAGUGCCUGUUUCAACCAGUGCACAGUGUUCCUGGAACUGGGACCUCUUUGUGACAUGGGGGACUUGGACCCCACACCCUGUAGGCUUCUGACAGUCCUUCUGACAGUCCUUGUGGGUGUGGGGUCUGGGAGAGGAGACCUUGGGAAAUGCCUCUUGGGAAAGGCCUGCUGCUGUUACAGAGAUGCUGAAUCACACAGGAAUUGUGCAGGUAAGGCUUGAGGUACCCCAGUGCUGGGCAGGUGUGGGGCAGGGGCACAGCCUGAGCACGGGCUGUUGGGCAGCUGAGUGUGCUGAGCUCAGGGCAGGGCUGGGCUGCCUAAAACAGAUGGUGUGUCUCAUUUACCUUUUGCAAAAGUAUAAAGAGACAGAACUGUACAAGGUCCCUCCUAAAGGGAGGUGUAUCAGCUUACCCCAAAAUCAGCUGUGAGGUGAAUCUCAUCUCAAAUACUGGGACACCACAAAGCACUGUCCUUAGAAAGCACACUCUUCCUCUGACAGAAUGCAAAUUAGUUAAUAGUUUCCAGCAACCAAAAAUGUACUAAAGCAUGAUUUGAGCAGGAAGGAAGCCACCAGCAGUGCUGCCACCUCUUUGACAGCUCUUCUAAUCACCAUAGCUUUAUCAAGAAGUGUUAAGUUGUAUUUUUUUAUUGAUAUUUAAGAAUAAAUUCUUACAACAUCAUCUCUAUAAAAGGUUCAUCACAGACCAAAUACCCCUCUAACCUUUUAAGCUUCUACAGUAAAAACUGUCGUCUUUAUUUAUCUAAGUUUGGGAGAGAUACAAAUGUAAUCAUAACCCCCAAGGCAAAAUUUUAUGGCAGUUUUCAGAACUCCUCUCUAUAAAAACUACUCAAAGCUACCAACAUAAAAGCUCCCAAUAAAAUUUGCUUUAGAUCCUAGUCAUAAAACAUGUAUUUUUUUCCCUGGUCCUGGAGCUACAGGUGUCCAAUUGGCAGCGCUGGUCGCUGCCAGAUCCCCUGGCAAUGCUGGGCUCCGUGUACCUGCUGGGUCAGGUGGGCAAGGAGGGGCUGCUGUGCCUUGGCUCAUCCCAGCACAGCCCGUGGGUGCCUGUGGGAACCUGAUGCUGUGGCUGGUGGCAAGCAUGGCCACAGGAGAUGUGGUUAGACCAUGUCUGAAGAAAUUCUGGAAGUGAGGGUGAUCUUUGGGUAUGUAAAGAUCUGUACAAUAAUAACAGGCUGAAGAAGAACAUCGCAGGCAGUAAUGUAGAACACAGGACUCUGUUACUUGGCUGUUUAAGCGUUGGGGAUCUGCACUUGCUUGCAAGACCGGUGGCCUUCCAGGUCUUACUUUGGUGACAUAGGAAUCCAUGCACCAGAAGUUGCUUUUAGAGUAAAGAUUCCUUACUGCUAUUUAUUUCCAUGUACAGCGUUAGCAGCAAGUAGAAAACCCUUUAUUUACAUUUAGCUGAGAAACCUAAUCCAGACCUGUGUGCAAUGAGGUUGGGCUGGGCUGGGCUGAGCUGGAGGGAGCCAGGCUGGG
rnacentral:lncRNA from 13 species